CAAUAGCGUAUAUUUAAGUUGCUGCAGUUAAAAAGCUCGUAGUUGGAUUUCGGGUGGGAAUGGCCGGUCCGCCGUUUCGGUGGGCACUUGCUACGCCCACCUUGCUGCCGGGGACGUGCUCUUGAGUUCACGCUCGGGACACGGAGUCGGCGAGGUUACUUUGAGUAAAUUAGAGUGUUCAAAGCAGGCCUACGCUCUGAAUACAUUAGCAUGGAAUAACACGAUAGGACUCUGGCCUAUCUUGUUGGUCUGUAGGACCGGAGUAAUGAUUAAGAGGGACAGUCGGGGGCAUUCGUAUUUCAUUGUCAGAGGUGAAAUUCUUGGAUUUAUGAAAGACGAACUACUGCGAAAGCAUUUGCCAAGGAUGUUUUCAUUAA
rnacentral:rRNA from 1 species